ACCCGUUGCGGCGGGUCUAAAUAGGUGAUUAGGCCGCAAGCGUCCCGCCCUCCGUGGGCGGGGGUUCAC
rnacentral:ribozyme from 1 species